rnacentral:tRNA from 3 species
UGGGGCGUGGCCAAGUGGUAAGGCGCCGGGUUUUGAUCCCGAAAUGCGAAGGUUCGAAUCCUUCCGUCCCAA